AGAGACAGUUGGAUGAUUGCGAGAUUUUUCUCGAGGAAAGUCCGAGCACCACACGGCAAGAGUGCAGGGUAACACCCUGUGAAGGCGACUUUAAGGACAGUGCAACAGAAAUAAACCGCAAGAUUUUUCUUGUAAGGAUGGAAAUGUAGUGUAAGAGACUACAACCACUUUGGUGACAAAGUGUUCUAUGUAAACCCCACUCGGUGCAAGAAGGGGAGCAAGUGUUUGCCCGACACCCCCGCCAAUUCGCUUGAGGCUGUUGGUAACAACAGUCCUAGAUAGAUAAUCAUCCCAGACAGAACUCGGCUUACAGACUGUUCUCGCCCC
rnacentral:RNase_P_RNA from 1 species